rnacentral:rRNA from 1 species
AUUGAACGCUGGCGGCAUGCCUUACACAUGCAAGUCGAACGGUAACAGGUCUUCGGACGCUGACGAGUGGCGAACGGGUGAGUAAUACAUCGGAACGUGCCCAGUCGUGGGGGAUAACUACUCGAAAGAGUAGCUAAUACCGCAUACGAUCUGAGGAUGAAAGCGGGGGACCUUCGGGCCUCGCGCGAUUGGAGCGGCCGAUGGCAGAUUAGGUAGUUGGUGGGAUAAAAGCUUACCAAGCCGAGGAUCUGUAGCUGGUCUGCGAGGACGACCCGCCACCCUGGGACUGGGGCACGGCCCAGACUCCUACGGGAGGCAGCAGUGGGGAAUUUUGGACAAUGGGCGAAAGCCUGAUCCAGCAAUGCCGCGUGCAGGAUGAAGGCCUUCGGGUUGUAAACUGCUUUUGUACGGAACGAAGAAGCUCCUUCUAAUACAGGGGGCCCAUGACGGUACCGUAAGAAUAAGCACCGGCUAACUACGUGCCAGCAGCCGCGGUAA